AAGGGCCAUGUCCUCGGAAACCCGCAUUCUAGCCAUGUCGUGCCUAAUCACCUCUCCCCAAUACCUCUUAGGCAUCCCUCUGCCUCGUCGUACGCUGACCAUCGCCAGCCGCUCAAAACUCCUCACCGGGGCAUCAGGACUUCUCCUCCGCACGUGCCCGAACCACCUCAGCCUUGCUUCUCGCAUCUUCUCAUCCACCGGGGCC
rnacentral:lncRNA from 1 species